UACGGGGGGGGUAAGCGUUGUUCGGAAUUACUGGGCGUAAAGGGCUCGUAGGCGGCCAACUAAGUCAGACGUGAAAUCCCUCAGCUUAACUGGGGAACUGCGUCUGAUACUGGAUGGCUUGGAUUCGGGAGAGGAAUGCGGAAUUCCAGGUGUAGCGGUGAAAUGCGUAGAUAUCUGGAGGAACACCGGUGGCGAAGGCGGCAUUCUGGACCGACAUUGACGCUGAAAACCGAAAGCUAGGGGAGCAAACGGG
rnacentral:rRNA from 1 species